rnacentral:lncRNA from 1 species
AUUAAGUGUUUCGUCCCGGAACAAUUUCCAUGCUGGAUUUUUAAGACUGGGCUGGACUCCAAAUCACCUACUUUUGGAUCCGAAAGUCGUCCGUAUAACUACAUCUCAGGACGACUGUAGAACAUGGAUUUCAGCUCGGCGCCCCUCAAUGACAGCUCCAGUGGCUGGAUCAAACACUGGAAACAGAUCACCGAUGAGUUCAAACCAGACAGAGAGGUCGACACCUGGUUCCUUAUGGGUUCCCCGUGGCCAAUGAUGGUCAUUCUCCUUCUCUACCUACAGUUUGUCCUCAAGUCCGGCCCGGAGAUGAUGAAAAACAGGCCGCCCCUAAAAUUAAGAGGCCUUAUAAUAUUUACAAUACUUUCCAAAUUUGCCUCAAUGGAGCACUGUUCUUCUCAUGUUUUGGAACACCUGGCUUCGUUUCCUAUGUUUGGCGAGAAUGCUGUCGACCGACCGCUGUAGCAGUUUCACCCCAGGAAGCUGCUCAUCUACUCCUUGUAAGGAUUCUGUCACCGGCAUUGGCGGAUCCAGCAAAUUGGCAACAUUGUCCAUUAAAACCCAUUUAAACCUAUGGAAAUGUAUUGAAUCUUGGAGGGACCAGGUGCUCCG